rnacentral:rRNA from 1 species
GAUGAACGCUGGCGGCGUGCUUAACACAUGCAAGUCGAACGGUGAAGGCGGAGCUUGCUCUGCUGGAUCAGUGGCGAACGGGUGAGUAACACGUGAGCAAUCUGCCCCUGACUCUGGGAUAAGCGCUGGAAACGGCGUCUAAUACUGGAUACGAGCUGUGAAGGCAUCUUCAGCAGUUGGAAAGACAGUCGGUCAGGGCUGAGCUCGCGGCCUCUCAGCUUGUUGGUGAGGUAGCGGCGCACCAAGGCGUCGACGGGUAGCCGGCCUGGGAGGGUGGCCAGCCACACGGGGCCUGAGAGACGGCCCAGACUCCAACGGGAGGCAACAGGGGGGAAUAUUGCACAGUGGGCGCACGCCUGAUGCAGCAACGCCGCGUGAGGGAAAACGGCCUUCGGGUUGUAAACCACUUUUGGCGGGGAAGAAGCGAAAGUGACGGUACCUGAAGAAAAAGCGACGGCUAACUACGUG